rnacentral:lncRNA from 1 species
GGAGGAUCUCAUUGAGAAGAUAUCAUUUGAGCAAAGAUGUAAAGCAAGGGAGGGAAUGAGUCAGUGGCUACAUAGGGAGAGUGUCCUAGGCAGAGGAAACAGCUUCUACAAAAGCCCUGAAGCAAUAGAAUGUUUGAAGUGUUCAAGAAUAAACAGGAGAUGCAGAAUGAAUGGAAUUGAGAGUGAGUGAGGCAGUCGGAUACAAGAGAGACUAAUAUGGGGCAGCACUGAAGACUGCUGACAGCAGCCACAUGAGUGAGCUCAGAGUGGACACAACAGCCCCUUCAGAGGCUGCAGGGAUGGCAGACAGCCUGACUGCAAUGUCGUGAAAGAUGCUGAGGCAGAACCAUGCAGCAAAGUCAUUCCCAGAUUCCUGACUCUCAGAAAAUGUUGUUACUUUAGAGAAGUCUGAACUUGCCCUUUUUUUCAUCUUUAUGCCUGAGGAAAUUUUUCUUUAUCAUCAAAGAACUCUGAGAAUUGAUGGGCACUGUGUUAGAGCAAGUGGGAAGUAUAGACACAGCUUCCCAUGUUAAGCACGAGCAAGAAGAAAGUAAUUUGAAUGGAAACUAUUCGAAUAUAUCACAGUGAUCAAAGAUUUAAAAGUGGAUGAAAAGAGACAGCUCAAGAACCCAAUUCAGA